GAUGAACGCUGGCGGCGUGCCUAAUACAUGCAAGUCGAGCGAACGGACGAGAAGCUUGCUUUUCUGAUGUUAGCGGCGGACGGGUGAGUAACACGUGGAUAACCUACCUAUAAGACUGGGAUAACUUCGGGAAACCGGAGCUAAUACCGGAUAAUAUUUUGAACCGCAUGGUUCAAAAGUGAAAGACGGUCUUGCUGUCACUUAUAGAUGGAUCCGCGCUGCAUUAGCUAGUUGGUAAGGUAACGGCUUACCAAGGCAACGAUGCAUAGCCGACCUGAGAGGGUGAUCGGCCACACGGGAACUGAGACACGGUCCAGACUCCUACGGGAGGCAGCAGUAGGGAAUCUGCCGCAAUGGGCGAAAGCCUGACGGAGCAACGCCGCGUGAGUGAUGAAGGUGUUCGGAUCGGAAAACUCUGUUAUGAGGGAAGAACAUAUGUGGAAGUAACUGUGCACAUCUUGACGGUAACUAAUCAGAAAGCCACGGCUAACUACGUG
rnacentral:rRNA from 1 species